rnacentral:rRNA from 1 species
UGGGGAAUAUUGGACAAUGGGCGAAAGCCUGAUCCAGCCAUGCCGCGUGUGUGAAGAAGGCCUUUUGGUUGUAAAGCACUUUAAGUGGGGAGGAAAAGCUUAUGGUUAAUACCCAUAAGCCCUGACGUUACCCACAGAAUAAGCACCGGCUAACUCUGUGCCAGCAGCCGCGGUAAUACAGAGGGUGCAAGCGUUAAUCGGAAUUACUGGGCGUAAAGCGCGCGUAGGUGGUUAUUUAAGUCAGAUGUGAAAGCCCCGGGCUUAACCUGGGAACUGCAUCUGAUACUGGAUAACUAGAGUAGGUGAGAGGGGAGUAGAAUUCCAGGUGUAGCGGUGAAAUGCGUAGAGAUCUGGAGGAAUACCGAUGGCGAAGGCAGCUCCCUGGCAUCAUACUGACACUGAGGUGCGAAAGCGUGGGUAGCAAACAGGAUUAGAUACCCUGGUAGUCCACGCCGUAAACGAUGUCUACCGGUCGUUGGGUCUUUUAAAGACUUAGUGACGCAGUUAACGCAAUAAGUAGACCGCCUGGGGAGUACGGCCGCAAGGUUA